rnacentral:rRNA from 1 species
CCGGGGUGAGUAAUGUCUGGGAAACUGCCUGAUGGAGGGGGGUAACUACUGGAAACGGUAGCUAAUACCGCAUAAUGUCGCAAGACCAAAGAGGGGGACCUUCGGGCCUCUUGCCAUCGGAUGUGCCCAGAUGGGAUUAGCUAGUAGGUGGGGUAACGGCUCACCUAGGCGACGAUCCCUAGCUGGUCUGAGAGGAUGACCAGCCACACUGGAACUGAGACACGGUCCAG